rnacentral:rRNA from 1 species
AGCCACAACACCAGCCCAAAAACACCACCCAAAAACACCACCCAAAAACACCAAAACAUUUGCCAAGACUAGUAGAUGCGAUCGAACGUCAACUCUCCUCUUAGGCGCAGUAGGGAUAGUACUGCGAAGGAACAAUGAGAGACACAAUAAAGCCAAACAAAGAAGACACCAAUCACCGUACCUCUUGCAUCAGGAUUUAGCAAGAAUAAAACAGGCAAGCCGAACACCAAGUCUGAAACCCCGAAAACUAGUGAGCUAUUUUUUAGCAGUCAAUGUGGACGAACUCGUUUCUGUAGCAAAAGAAUGAGAAGACUAAAAAAUAGAGGUGAAAUGCCAACCGAACUUGUUGAUAGCUGGUUGCCUGAAAAAUGAAUUUAAGUUCAAUCUUAGGUUCAACCACAAUAAGACAUGAUCCCCCAUAACUCCUAAGACAUAGUCAUUAAGGGUACAGCCCUAACGACCCCAGGAUACAGCCCAAGUUAGAGAGAAAACCCUCCUCCUUUUUCCCGUAGGCCUCAAAGCAGCCACCCCUAAACAUUUCGUUUCAGGAACCCCUACAAAAAUCCAAAACAAAACUAACAACUCCUUUUAAACAUCAGGCCAUUCUAUACAACAUAGAAGAAAAAAUGCUAAAACUAGUAAUAGGAAACCCUCUCCAGACAAACCCUUAACAAACAAAUUAACAACCCACAAACGGAACUAAAAAACACCAUAAACAAAGCCUAAACCACACUGUUAACCCACCAAAGGAUUGUCAUUACAGGAAGAUUAAAAAUCCAAAAAGGAACUCGGCAAACCACUUUCCAACUGUUUACCAAAAACAUAGCCCUUAGACAUUCAAAUAUUAAAGGUAACGCCUGCCCAGUGAGGGCCCCCCCCCUUAAACGGCCGCGAUAUAACCGUGCAAAGGUAGCACAAUCACUUGUCCCUUAAAUAGGGACUAGUAUGAAAGGCUUCAUGAGAAAGUAACUGUCUCUUAGGAUUGAUCUGUGAAACUUAUCUCCUCGUCCAAAAGCGAGAAUAGAAAAAUUAGACAAAAAGACCCUGUGAAGCUUAAAACCAAAUUUCAACCAAAAUGAAACACGGUUUUUAGUUGGGGCAACUAAGGAGAAACAAAACCUCCACAUAUAUCAAGGCCCACAAGCCUAAACAAUAAACUAUUGAUCCGAUAAUAUCGAACAAAGAACCAAGUUACUCCAGGGAUAACAGCACCACAUUCUUGCAGAGUCCAUAUCAACAAGAAUACCUACGACCUCGAUGUUGGAUCAGGAUAUCCUGAUGGUGCAGAAGCUAUCAAGGGUCCGUUUGUUCAACGGUUAAAAUCCUACGUGAUCUGAGUUCAGACCGGAGCAAUCCAGGUCGGUCUAUAUCUAUUAUAUAAGCAUCCAUGCCAGUACGAAAGGACCGCAAAGACAAGGCCAAUAACAACAAAACGCCUUAUACACAUGUUCUGAACCCCCACUAAAACACAAAUGUAUACUUUCUCCCUAUCCCAGACAAGGAAACAUGCCCACAUGGUACAAAACCCAUGUGGGCAUAUACCGCCU